rnacentral:rRNA from 1 species
GACGAACGCUGGCGGCGUGCUUAACACAUGCAAGUCGAACGGAAAGGCCCUGCUUUUGUGGGGUGCUCGAGUGGCGAACGGGUGCGUAACACGUGAGUAACCUGCCCUUGACUUUGGGAUAACUUCAGGAAACUGGGGCUACUACCGGAUAGGAUCUCCUGCUGCAUGGUGGGCGUUGGAACGUUUCGGCGGUUGGGGAUGGACUCGCGGCUUAUCAGCUUGUUGGUGGGGUAGUGGCUUACCAAGGCUUUGACGGGUAGCCGGCCUGAGAGGGGGACCGGCCACAUGGGGACUGAGAUACGGCCCAGACUGCUACGGGAGGCAGCAGUGGGGAAUAUUGCACAAUGGGCGGAAGCCUGAUGCAGCAACGCCGCGUGCGGGAUGACGGCCUUCGGGUUGUAAACCGCUUUCGCCUGUGACGAAGCGGGAGUGACGGUAAUGGGUAAAGAAGCACCGGCUAACUACGUG